rnacentral:misc_RNA from 1 species
AACGCACAUUGCGCCCGCCAGCAUUCUGGCGGGCAUGCCUGUUCGAGCGUCAUUUCAACCCUCGAGCCCGACUUCCUUGCGGAGGACGGCUCGGCGUUGGGGGACGGCACACUCCCCCCGGCUCGCCGGGGACGCCGCCCCCGAAAUUCAGUGGCGGCCCUCGGAGGCGACCUCUGCGUAGUAACUCAACCUCGCAAAGGGAAGCUCCGAGCGGCCACGCCGUGAAACCCCAACUUUUUCAGGUUGACCUCGAAUCAGGUAGGACUACCCGCUGAACUUAA